ACCACAGCGCCGAUCCGGUGACUAGCGCCACCUUUCCCUACACCUCCGCAGUUUCCACGGUCAGCAUCAAACGGAGCGCCAGUGUCCUCACGUGUGUCGCCGACGGUGCCGUCAAGCGCUUUGAGUGGCUGACGUUCGGAAACGUGGCUGUCUCAGAAAGCGACGGCGCAGUGGGCAGUGACCCGUCCCAGUUCACUUUGGACGCCAAGGCCAAAGGCCAGUUCAUUUGCAAGGUCACCGCCUGCGAUGACAAGAACAUCAACUCCCCGUCCUUCGCCGUCAGCGGAGUCAAGGACGCCUCCGGUAGCACCGGCACGGACCAGGACAACAGUCCGAGUGAGUACUUGCAUGUCAGUGGAUCAAGCCCCGCCCCGCCCAGCCGCCAAUGUUUGCCAUCUUUGCUCCAGGACCAACCGCAGCCACCCAGGGCGCGUCCUGCUCUGUCGCUCUGCUGGUGAUAAGCGUCCUCAUUGAGCUCUACGUGGUGAUGAUGAUGUAGACCGAGGCCGGCCGGCCGGCGGACGAGAGAUCCUGGAGGCGAGCGGCCAUUUUUCUUUUUUCAUUCAUUCAGCAAUAAAAAAAAUUCAUUCAUCAGCAAUAAGAAGAGCGAAAAAAAAGCACAAAACACAGAAAGCAGCGGCUCGGGAGAAGCGGGAAGGCGGCGGCGUUGACGGCGGCACGAGACCCUGGCGCAAUGGAAAACCUGGUCCAUCUGGCGUCCAUCUGGCGUCCAUCUGGCGCGAGUGAGGGCACGCCUGAGCGGUUGGCCUUGGACUUGUUUGUGGUAGGGGAAGGGCCGAGAGUGAAGCGGGAAAGCUUUUUUUUUCUUAUUCAAUUUGCUUCUACUUCUUCCAUUUAUCAGGAUUUACAAUGGAUGAUGUCACUCACCGACCGUUAGCAUUGGGGAGGGAGGUUGGCAAAUGCUCCGGAAGGUGGUCAACGCGAUUGGGUGAAUGAAUUGCGCGGUGCAACUUUUGGUUGGUCUUCAAUUUACUCCAUUUAUUUGCAUGCUUACUACUGGAGUUAUUAUCAAUUUAUGAUAUUUAUGAUGUGGUUUACAAUGGAUGAUGUCACUCAACUUUAGCAUUGGGGAGGGAGGGAGGUUGUCAAACGUUUUGUUUGGACGCGCUGGCAGGUGGUCAACGUGAUUGGGUGGGUGAAUUGGAUGGUGCAACUUUUGCAUUUGCUUUCAACGAACGCAGCAUUGCGAGGGAUGGCGUCGCAUUUGACGGCGGUGCAAUUGUGCGAAGGCAUUGCGUGAGUUUUGAUGGUGCAACUUUGCCUUGGUGUCAUGUGUCCACUGGAAACCACAAUAAAGUCUUCAUUC